GUAAUUAUCCUUCCUUUAAGGGUCUUUUUUUCCUUAUGCUAAUAUUUAGGACUUUUCUUUUCCUUUGGUUUGGGGACUUUCACUGUGACAUGGAUUUCUCUUUCUUUAUCCUUCUUGUUAUUUGUGAGGCUUCCUGAAUCCAUCAAGAGGGACCUACCACAAGUUUUAGAAAGUUGAAGUCAUUAUUUCUUCAACUAUCUCUUAUAUUGCAUUCUCUUUCACCUCUCCUUUUAAAUUCCUUUAUUUGUGGGCUAGCCCAGUGGCGCAGCAGUUAAGGGUACACAUUCCACUUUGGCGGCCUGGGGUUCACUGGUUCAGAUCCCGGGUGUGGACAUGGCACUGCUUGGCAAGCCAUACUGUGAACAUUUGAAUUUCAGAUCUUGUGUGGUGUUAACCAAGUUUGAGCACCAGCAUUCCUAAUGUGCAUUGGCCAAUAUCCUGUCUUCUGCUCAUAUAUGUCAAUUUUAGCUGUUUUCCAGAUUUCUCAGUGAAGAAAUGUAAAAGCCCAAGCUCACUAGGGAACUGGACAUGUGAAAAACCCUCCAACCUGAAACACUGGGGAUAUUGGUGAUCUAAAGCCUCUGAGCCUGGAUUGUAAUCCCUCUAUCCUCUUGCCGAUUCCCUUAAUCUCAGCACUUCAGUCAGUCGGAAGCUGCCACGAGAGGACAAGAUUUUCCUGGCCACAGAUGCUUUUGGAGUUUCCCUUCUACAGAAGAAUUUCAGGCAGGUUUCCAACAUCUUACAGCGACAAUUCAACUUUGUCCCUGGCAUGUAAGAAAAGUCUCUUCCUGCUUGGAGUUCUACUGGAAAACUAACCCACCGCGGCUGAGAAACACGAUUGCUGGCAAAGUUUCUCUGCAGCAACACCAGGGAAGCUGUCUCCUCCACAAUGAUGGAUCCAGGAUUGAACAAGAUCAGUACCCUUUGGUCACUUCCGCACAAGAGAAAGAUUUAUUUUCAACUCCAUCUAAUUAUUUUCCGGAACCUAGUUUUGUAGAAUCGUUACUUUGUUAUUUUACGGGAGUAUGCUGGGGGAUGGAGUUUAAACUCCUCUAAAACAAGGAUGCAUGAGAACUAUUUCCUCUGUGGCCUAAUUGUCUAAAUCUGACUUUGGAGUCAAUAUUUUUACUGGAUAUCUAGUGCUUAUCAAAGUCGCUUGCAGCCAAAAUAAAAUGUCAGGCAAAGGCAUACAUUUUACUGCUAGAAAUUCAAGAUUUCAUAGGAUUUUUGUGAUAUGUAUCUCUUCAAGGUACAGUUUGACAGAAAUUAAAUUAAAUCUGCCAUGUCAAAUAAAUCCUGAGGAUGGAAAAAUUACAGAUAAUUUUUAAUGUUUGAUACAGAUAUGUUCUUCUCUAGCAGUCAAUACCUCAGUCAAAGUAAAUAAAUAACUUCAAAGAUUAUGUGGGAUCAGAAUUGUUUUCAGUAAAAGACGCCAUUAAAGUUAAUGACAACAAAGUCAUAAUGGAAUAAAUAUUACAACUGGAAAAUGAUUAAAAUUCUCCAAGUGGGCUUCGUAAAUUACAAUGUUAAUGUAAAAAUGAG
rnacentral:lncRNA from 1 species